GCCCGGUUAGCUCAGUCAGUAGAGCAUGCGACUCUUAAUCUCAGGGUGGUGGGUUCGGACUCAACGUUGGGCG
rnacentral:tRNA from 1 species